UACAGAGGUCUCAAGCGUUGUUCGGAUUCAUUGGGCGUAAAGGGUGCGUAGGCGGCGCGGUAAGUCGGGUGUGAAAUCUCGGAGCUUAACUCCGAAACUGCAUUCGAUACUGCCGUGCUUGAGGACUGGAGAGGAGACUGGAAUUUACGGUGUAGCGGUGAAAUGCGUAGAUAUCGUAAGGAAGACCAGUGGCGAAGGCGGGUCUCUGGACAGUUCCUGACGCUGAGGCACGAAGGCUAGGGGAGCAAACGGG
rnacentral:rRNA from 1 species